rnacentral:rRNA from 1 species
GCAUUUGCGGGCGUGCUAUACAUGCAGUCGAACGAGUUCUCGUUGAUGAUCGGUGCUUGCACCGAGAUUCAACAUGGAACGAGUGGCGGACGGGUGAGUAACACGUGGGUAACCUGCCCUUAAGUGGGGGAUAACAUUUGGAAACAGAUGCUAAUACCGCAUAGAUCCAAGAACCGCAUGGUUCUUGGCUGAAAGAUGGCGUAAGCUAUCGCUUUUGGAUGGACCCGCGGCGUAUUAGCUAGUUGGUGAGGUAAUGGCUCACCAAGGCGAUGAUACGUAGCCGAACUGAGAGGUUGAUCGGCCACAUUGGGACUGAGACACGGCCCAAACUCCUACGGGAGGCAGCAGUAGGGAAUCUUCCACAAUGGACGCAAGUCUGAUGGAGCAACGCCGCGUGAGUGAAGAAGGCUUUCGGGUCGUAAAACUCUGUUGUUGGAGAAGAAUGGUCGGCAGAGUAACUGUUGUCGGCGUGACGGUAUCCAACCAGAAAGCCACGGCUAACUACGUGCCAGCAGCCGCGGUAAUACGUAGGUGGCAAGCGUUAUCCGGAUUUAUUGGGCGUAAAGCGAGCGCAGGCGGUUUUUUAAGUCUGAUGUGAAAGCCCUCGGCUUAACCGAGGAAGCGCAUCGGAAACUGGGAAACUUGAGUGCAGAAGAGGACAGUGGAACUCCAUGUGUAGCGGUGAAAUGCGUAGAUAUAUGGAAGAACACCAGUGGCGAAGGCGGCUGUCUGGUCUGUAACUGACGCUGAGGCUCGAAAGCAUGGGUAGCGAACAGGAUUAGAUACCCUGGUAGUCCAUGCCGUAAACGAUGAAUGCUAGGUGUUGGAGGGUUUCCGCCCUUCAGUGCCGCAGCUAACGCAUUAAGCAUUCCGCCUGGGGAGUACGACCGCAAGGUUGAAACUCAAAGGAAUUGACGGGGGCCCGCACAAGCGGUGGAGCAUGUGGUUUAAUUCGAAGCAACGCGAAGAACCUUACCAGGUCUUGACAUCUUUUGAUCACCUGAGAGAUCAGGUUUCCCCUUCGGGGGCAAAAUGACAGGUGGUGCAUGGUUGUCGUCAGCUCGUGUCGUGAGAUGUUGGGUUAAGUCCCGCAACGAGCGCAACCCUUAUGACUAGUUGCCAGCAUUUAGUUGGGCACUCUAGUAAGACUGCCGGUGACAAACCGGAGGAAGGUGGGGAUGACGUCAAAUCAUCAUGCCCCUUAUGACCUGGGCUACACACGUGCUACAAUGGAUGGUACAACGAGUUGCGAGACCGCGAGGUCAAGCUAAUCUCUUAAAGCCAUUCUCAGUUCGGACUGUAGGCUGCAACUCGCCUACACGAAGUCGGAAUCGCUAGUAAUCGCGGAUCAGCACGCCGCGGUGAAUACGUUCCCGGGCCUUGUACACACCGCCCGUCACACCAUGAGAGUUUGUAACACCCGAAGCCGGUGGCGUAACCCUUUUAGGGAGCGAGCCGUCUAAGGUGACCCAAGUUUGG